UCAAGUGAAUAAGAGCAUAAGGCGGAUGCCUUGGCACUGGGAGCCGACGAAGGACGUGACAAGCUGCGAUAAGCUACGGGGAGGAGCACAUAUCCGUCAAUCCGUAGAUUUCCGAAUGGGGGAACCCACCUAUAGUAAUGUGUAGGUAUUUUCGUAUGAAUCUAUAGUACGAAUAAAGGCAACCCGGGGAACUGAAACAUCUAAGUACCCGGAGGAAGAGAAAGAAAAAUCGAUUUCCUAAGUAGCGGCGAGCGAAAGGGAAAGAGGCCAAACCGUUAGUUUACUAACGGGGUUGUGGAUCACAGCCGUGGUAGAUACAAGUUUAGCAGAAGACAACUGGAAAGUUUGCGACACAGAGGGUAAUAUCCCCGUAUGCGAAAAAUGAGUAUCACCUAUGUGACACCAGAGUAGGACCGAACACGUGGAAUUCGGUUUGAAGCCGGGGGGCCCACCCCCCAAGCCUAAAUACUACCCAGUGACCGAUAGUGAAUAGUACCGUGAGGGAAAGGUGAAAAGGACCCCGGGAGGGGAGUGAAAUAGAACCUGAAACCUUAUGCUUACAAGCAGAGGGAGCGCAAGUGACCUCGUACUUUUUGUAGAACGGGCCAACGAGUUAUGGUAUGCAGCGAGGUUAAGGUGCUGGAGCACUGGAGCCGUAGAGAAAUCGAGUCUGAAAGGGCGAAAGUUGCAUGCUGUAGACCCGAAACCGGGUGAUCUAUCCAUGUCCAGGUUGAAGUAACUGUAAUAGGUUAUGGAGGACCGAACUUAUAUCUGUUGAAAAAGGUUAGGAUGAGGUGUGGAUAGGGGUGAAAUUCCAAUCGAACUCGGAUAUAGCUGGUUCUCCUCGAAAUAGCUUUAGGGCUAGCCUCAAGGUAAAGAUACACGGGGGUAGAGCACUGACUGUUCGCGGGGCCUUCACCGGUUACCAACAACUAUCAAACUCCGAAUACCGUGGUAUCAUACUUGGGAGUCAGACUAUGAGAGAUAAGUUCCAUGGUCGAAAGGGAAACAGCCCAGAUCAACAGCUAAGGUCCCAAAGAGUAAGUUAAGUGGAAAAGGAUGUGGGAUUGCACAAACAGCUAGGAUGUUGGCUUAGAAGCAGCCAUACAUUUAAAGAGUGCGUAAUAGCUCACUAGUCGAGUGAUCCUGCGCCGAAGAUAAACGGGGCUCAAACUUACCACCGAAGCUUUGGAAUUAGUAUAACUAAUUGGUAGAGGAGCAUUCUAUACAGGUAGAAGGAGGCGCGUAAGCAAAUCUGGACGGUAUAGAAGAGAGAAUGUUGGCAUGAGUAGCGUAAGGCGGGUGAGAAUCCCGUCCGCCUAAAAUCUAAGGUUUCCUGAGGAAGGUUCGUCCUCUCAGGGUAAGUCGGGACCUAAGCCGAGAGCGAACGCUGUAGGCGAUGGACAACAGGUUGAUAUUCCUGUACCACCAAGGAUUGUUUGAAUGAAGUGGGGACACAGAAGGAUAGAUUGAGCACGCCGUUGGUUGAGCGUGUCCAAGCAGCAAGGCUUGAAAGUAGGCAAAUCCGCUUUCUACAAGGCUGAGCUGUGAUGGGGUGGUCGAAUGACCGGUAGCAAUCGAUUUCACGCUGUCAAGAAAAGCCGCUAAUGAGAUCCAAGGUGCCCGUACCGCAAACCGACACAGGUAGAUGAGGAGAGAAUCCUAAGGUGAGCGAGCGAACUAUUGUUAAGGAACUCGGCAAAAUAACCCCGUAACUUCGGGAGAAGGGGUGCCUGCUUCGGCAGGCCGCAGUGAAAAGGCCCAGGCAACUGUUUACCAAAAACACAGGUCUCUGCAAAAGCGAAAGCUGAAGUAUAGGGGCUGACGCCUGCCCGGUGCUGGAAGGUUAAGGGGACGUGUCAUCGCAAGAGAAGCACUGAACUUAAGCCCCAGUAAACGGCGGCCGUAACUAUAACGGUCCUAAGGUAGCGAAAUUCCUUGUCGGGUAAGUUCCGACCCGCACGAAAGGCGUAAUGAUCUGGACACUGUCUCAACAAUAGGCUCGGUGAAAUUGUAGUACCGGUAAAGAUGCCGGUUACCCGCAGCAGGACGGAAAGACCCCGUGGAGCUUUACUGUAGCUUGAUAUUGAGUUUCGGCGUUGCAUGUACAGGAUAGGUGGGAGACUAUGAAGCAAGUACGCCAGUAUUUGCGGAGUCAUCGUUGGGAUACCACCCUUGUAACGCUGGAAUUCUAACCAUGUACCGUGAUCCGGUGCUGAGACAGUGUCAGGUGGGCAGUUUGACUGGGGCGGUCGCCUCCUAAAGAGUAACGGAGGCGUUCAAAGGU
rnacentral:rRNA from 1 species